GUGGGAAUCUGCCCUUGGGUUCGGAAUAACUUCGGGAAACUGAAGCUAAUACCGGAUGAUGACGUAAGUCCAAAGAUUUAUCGCCCAAGGAUGAGCCCGCGUAGGAUUAGCUAGUUGGUGAGGUAAAGGCUCACCAAGGCGACGAUCCUUAGCUGGUCUGAGAGGAUGAUCAGCCACACUGGGACUGAGACACGGCCCAGACUCCUACGGGAGGCAGCAGUGGGGAAUAUUGGACAAUGGGCGAAAGCCUGAUCCAGCAAUGCCGCGUGAGUGAUGAAGGCCUUAGGGUUGUAAAGCUCUUUUGCCCGGGAUGAUAAUGACAGUACCGGGAGAAUAAGCUCCGGCUAACUCCGUGCCAGCAGCCGCGGUAAUACGGAGGGAGCUAGCGUUGUUCGGAAUUACUGGGCGUAAAGCGCACGUAGGCGGCUUUGUAAGUUAGAGGUGAAAGCCUGGAGCUCAACUCCAGAAUUGCCUUUAAGACUGCAUCGCUUGAAUCCAGGAGAGGUGAGUGGAAUUCCGAGUGUAGAGGUGAAAUUCGUAGAUAUUCGGAAGAACACCAGUGGCGAAGGCGGCUCACUGGACUGGUAUUGACGCUGAGGUGCGAAAGCGUGGGGAGC
rnacentral:rRNA from 1 species